rnacentral:rRNA from 1 species
CAAGUCUUGACAUCCCUCUGAAUCCUCUAGAGAUAGAGGCGGCCUUCGGGACAGAGGUGACAGGUGGUGAAUGGUUGUCGUCAGCUCGUGUCGUGAGAUGUUGGGUUAAGUCCCGCAACGAGCGCAACCCUUGAUUUUAGUUGCCAGCACUUUGGGUAGGCACUCUAGAAUGACUGCCGGUGACAAACCGGAGGAAGGUGGGGAUGGCGUCAAGUCCUCAUGGCCCUUAUGGGUAGGGCUACACACGUCAUACAAUGGUACAUACAGAGGGCCGCCAACCCGCGAGGGGGAGCUAAUCCCAGAAAGUGUAUCGUAGUCCGGAUUGUAGUCUGCAACUCGACUACAUGAAGUUGGAAUCGCUAGUAAUCGCGAACCAGAAUGUCGCGGUGAAUACGUUCCC